CCCAGAUGCGCACCCCAACCUUUGACUGAUGCAUCUGUAUUGAUGGUGAUCCAAUUUCUUUGUUCGAAUGAGAGGCCUGCUUUUACAAAUCUUGAUUCUUUCCACCAGUUCAACUGAUCUUUUACCCUGGCUAAAAUUUGGAUUUCUUUGUCCAGAUCUUUUUCUGUUUUUGACCAUUUUGAUAAUAUGUCCCAUUGUAAGGGUCUGAUCUCUGACCUUGCCCAUUUCACCGCUGAAAUGGUGGAUGUAAGAAGGCCUAAAGUGCUCAUUGUUUGUCUGACAGAAAGUAAUUCCUUCUCUGAAGCGUACAAA